ensembl:lncRNA
CUUCUAGGACUAUAUUGUAAAACACUGGUGAAAGAGGACAUCCUGUCUUGUUCCUGAUCUUAGUGGAAAUGCUUUCAGUUUUUCACCAUUGAGAAUGAUGUUAGCUGUCAGUUUCUCAUAAAUGGCUUUUAUUAUGUUGAGGUAGUUCCCCUCUAUGCCCACUCUCUGGAGAGUUUUUUAUCAGUAAUGGGUGUUGAAUUUUGUCAAAAGCUUUUUAUGCAUUUAGUGAGAUGAUCAUAUGGUUUUUAUUUUUCAUUUUGUUGUUGUGGUGUAUCACAUUGAUAGAUUUGUGGAUAUUGAAGAAUCCUUACAUCCCUGGGAUAGAUCCUACUUGAUUAUAGUUGUAUGAUCUUUUUAAUGUAUAUUUGUAUGUGGUUUGCUAAUAUUUUGUUGAGGAUUUUUGCAUCUAUGUUCAUGAGUGAUAUUGGCCUGUAAUCUUUUUUUUGUGGUACCUUUGUCUGGUUUUGGUAUCAAGGUAAUGGUGGCUUCAUAGAAUGAGCUUGGGAGUGUUCCUCCCUCUGCAAUUUUCUGGAAAAGUUUCAGAAGAAGAGAUGUUAACUUUUCUCUGGAUGUUUGGUAGAACUCACCUGAGAAGCCAUCAGGUCCUAGACUUUUGCUUUUUGGAUUUUUUUUUUUUUUGGUCUUUUAUCUUUUUAGGGCCACACCUGUGGCAUAUGGAGGUUCCCAGGGUAGGGGUCAAAUCGGAGCUGCAGCUGCCAGCCUAAAUCAUAGCCAUAGCAAAGUGGGAUCCAAGCCAUGUCUGACCCACACCACAGCUCAGCGCAAUGCCAGAUCCUUAACCCAUUGAGCAAGGCCAGGGAUCGAACCCGCAUCUGCAUGGAUACUAGUCAGGUUCAUUAACCACUGAGCCAUGAUGGCAACUCCUGGAAGUUUUUUAAUCACAUUUUCAAUUUCAGCGCUUGUGAUUGGUCUAUUCAUAUUUUCUGUUUUUUCCUUGUUCAGUCUUAGUAGGUUGUACCUUUGUAACAAUCUGUCCAUUUCUUCUAGGUUGUCCAUUUUAUUGGCAUACAGUUGUUCAUAGCAGUCUCUCAUGAUCCUUUGUAUUUCUGCAGUGUCAAUUGUAACUUAUCCUUUUUCAUCUCUAAUUCUAUUGAUUUGAACCAUCACUCUUUUUUUCUUGAUAAGUUUGCCUAAUAAAGGUUUAUCAAUUUUGUUGAUCUCUUCAAAGAACCAUCUUUUGGUUUCAUUUAUCUUCUCAAUUGUUUUCAUCGUCUCUAUGUUAUUAAUUUAUGCUCUGAUCUUUAUGAUUCCUUUCCUUCUACUAAUUUUGGGCUUUGUCUGUUUUUCCUUCUCUAGAUGUUUAGGUGUAAGUUUAGGUUGUUUGAGUGUUUUCUUCUUUCCUCAGAUAAAAUUGUAUUGCUAUAAACUUCCCUCUCAGAACUGCUUUUGCCAUGUCCCUUAGUCCACAUACUACAUAGGAGAAGAUAUUUGCAAAUGAUAUAUCUGAUAAAAGGUCAAUAUUAAAAACAAAGAACUUAUACAACUCUAUAUCAAAAAAAGAAAAACCAAAAUAUAACCUGAUUAAAAAGUGAGCAGUAGAUCUGAAUAUACAUUUUUCUAGAGAAGACAUACAGAUGGCCAAAAAGCACAUGAAAAUAAGCUCAAUAUCACUAAUCAUCAAAGAAUGCAGACCAGAAUUACAGUAAGAUAUUAUCUCAUACCUAUAAGAAUGGCUGUUAUCAAAAAAACAACAAAUAGGAGUUCCCUGGUGGCUCCAUGGGUUAAGAAUGUGGUAAUGUCACUGCAGUUGCUCUGGUUACUGCUGUGGUUCAGGUUUGAUGCCUGGCCUAGAACUUCUGCAUGCCUUGGAUGAGGCCAAAAAAAAAAAAAAAAGAAAAGAAAAAA